CAUCAUAGAAGGCCACCAGAUUGGUCAGGCACGAUCUGCCCUGGCUGCCUCGAAUCACCUCUUUAUUUCAUGUGUGCCUUAACAAAGCUUCUAGGAGGAUCUGCUCCAUGAUCUUCCCAGGCACAGAGACCAACUUGAGUGUCCACCUGUUGUCCUCUGGGCUCUGUUUUUCAAAUUGCGUAUCUGAACAAAGUCUUCGACUGUGACUCCCUGCAAAGAGAAGCACCCAGGAGUUGCAAAGGUGAUAGUUUGAAAAACAUGAAGUGAUGGCAUAUACUUGGAUAUAUCACAGUCCAGAACAGAAAAUCUGUCAUUUGGGAAAAUAUAUAAAUUAGAAGAGGUGAUGACUUGAAGACAUGGAGACUUCUACCUAGAUGCUGAAGACACCUGUGAGCUGGAAACUCACUGAGAAGUGACUAAUCUAGUAUUGCUCCAUCAAGGUUGUCUGAGAUCCUAGUCCACUUGUUGUAUGAAUUGCCACUCAUGUUGGCAGUUCAAGGAAAGAAGCUAAGAGCAGAAUUGGAGUAGACAAAGGCAUCCUUUCAGUCCAAAAUAAUGAUCAACAACUCUUGUAAAUUGCUUCUUACUCAGACAUGGAGAUAACGUGGAGAAGGCUGCCCGUGUCUGACAGUUCUAAGGCAGGGGGAAGUGGAAAUGAGGUUGAAGUAUUUGAUCUCCAACGCUGUUAUCAAAUGUUCCAGCGUCACUACUGGAAUCUUUCAUUUUCCUGUUAUUGUUAUCUGGUCUUUUUGGUUUUAUUUCAUUCUCAAGUAUGAACUAGUAGCUCCAAUACACUUAGCAAAGAUUAUUUAAGGGCAAGUGGAACAUACUAGCUGGCUCUGGUUAGUUUCUUUGUUGGGCCACAGUGUUGAACAGACAUGAUUCAUCAAUGAAGGCAGUGCACUCAGAGUUGUUUGGAAUUCUUUAACUUUCAUGUUUUGAUAUAAUGUUAAAAACUGUCCUCCAGAAAAUCUGCUCUUUUUCAGAACUAGAGAACUUGCAGAGGAGCCUGUGAAAUGGUUAAAGAAAUUUAAGUUCCUUGUAUAAAUUCCAUUACAAUAUUCUAGAGAGAAAAUCUUAAAAAUAACAGGAAAAGAAAUGUAUUGGAUAAUUCACCAAUAAGAAUACGCAAUACUGAGAAAACAACAAAGAUAAAGAGUUCUUUGUUUGUUUGUUUGUUUGUUUGUUUGUUUGUGAGGAUCUGAAUCAUACAGAAAUAGUAAUCUGAGAGCAUUGUUUUCUUUUGACAAAUCUUGGUCAAACUUUACUUUCACAUUAAAACCUUGAUAUC
rnacentral:lncRNA from 1 species